rnacentral:rRNA from 1 species
UGAGUAACCUGCCCCAGACUCUGGAAUAACCCCCGGGGAAACCGGAGCUAAUACCGGAUACGAGACGAAGCUGCAUGGCUAUCGUCUGGUAAAGUUUUUCGGUCUGGGAUGGACUCGCGGCCUAUCAGCUUGUUGGUGAGGUAUGGUUCACCAAGGCGACGGACGGGUAGCCGGCCUGGAGGAGGGCCGACCGGCCACACGUGGGGACUGAGACCACGGCCCAGACCUCCGUACGGGGAGCAG